UACGUAGGGUGCAAGCGUUAAUCGGAAUUACUGGGCGUAAAGCGUGCGCAGGCGGUUUUGUAAGUCUGUCGUGAAAGCCCCGGGCUCAACCCGGGAACUGCAUUUGUGACUGCAUCGCUGGAGUACGGCAGAGGGGGAUGGAAUUCCGCGUGUAGCAGUGAAAUGCGUAGAUAUGCGGAGGAACACCGAUGGCGAAGGCAAUCCCCUGGGCCUGUACUGACGCUCAUGCACGAAAGCGUGGGGAGCAAACAGG
rnacentral:rRNA from 1 species